AACGUAGGGGCGAGCGUUGCCCGGAUUCACUGGGCGUAAAGCGGGUGUAGGCGGUUCCUUAAGUCGGAUGUGAAAUCCUACGGCUCAACCGUGGAACUGCAUCCGAUACUGGGGAACUUGAGGACGGUAGAGGUCGGUGGAAUAUCCGGUGUACCGGUGAAAUGGGCAGAUAUCGGAUAGAACACCAGUGGCGAAGGCGGCCGACUGGGCCGUUCCUGACGCUGAGACCCGAAAGCUAGGGUAGCGAACCGG
rnacentral:rRNA from 1 species